UCAUUGCCCAGCAGCUGAUUAAGACAAGAGAAAAUUUUUUCAAUUUGGAUCUUCCAUGGAUGGUGGAGGACCUCAGUCUCCGCGCGCCAAGCCAGGACUCAUGGAAAACGGCAGAGGAUGUGUUAGACCACCAGAGGGCGCUCCGGCACCGCAGGAGCGAGGAAAGCCAGUCUUGCAGCGGAAGUGAAACCGAUCAAGUGUUGCCUGUAAUCAGAUGCAUCAGGGUCUUUUCCAAUGACUCAGCUCUUCGCAUCAGGGGGCCAAAGUAUUAGAACUCCGUGGUACUUGGAGCAGUCUCAAGGCAGGUGGCUCAGUGGUGAAGAAUCCGCCUGCCAAUGCAGGAGACAUGGGUUUGAUCCCUGGAUCGGAAAGAUCCCCUGGAGGAGGAAAUGGCAUCCCAUUCCAGUAUUCCGGCCUGGAGAAUCCCAUGGACAGAGAACCCUGGUGGGCUACAGUCCAUGGGGUCAAAAAGAGUCGGACACAACUUAGAGACUAAACAGCAACAAAAUCUCCUUAGGCUGCCUCACCUGUCCCCUCCCACGGAAACCACAGUAAGGACUCUGCCCCCUCAUCAUGUCCUCACUCCUGUCUGCCUCCUGGCUGAGCUGGUGCUGCCCUGGGGCAUGGUGGGCUCCCCCUUCUUGGGAUCUGAGAAUGGAACCCUGCUGUUUUCACUGCUCGCAUUUCUGACACCAAACAUGUGUUGCUGUUUUCCCACACCAACCACCAGUUCUCCGAUCCUCCAGACCCCUAAUGAGUGCCCCCAGGCACCCAUCAUCUUACCAUCAUUAACAUACAGAAAGGCAUUCUCAGGACUCGAGAUUCCAGGGUUUUCUGAGCUAUCUUGGAUGAAGACCAAAUAUUGAAACAAAUGAUGCUCUUCUCACUUCCGUCACUCAGGAAAUGACAAGGGUUUCAGAAACUCUGUCAGGAACUGGGGACAAAGAUCAAAUACAUAUUUCUUACUGCAUAAUAAACAUACUAUAAUAA
ensembl:lncRNA